GAAAAUGUAUCCUUUAUUGCUUUCAUCUGAGAAUGUAGAUGUAUCGAAGGAUAAAUCUUUUAAUACUUUUUAGAUUUUUUUAGACACUAAGCUCGGUAAUUCUCCUCAAUUAAAAAAAAAUGGUUCACUUGACCUAAAACAUACUGUAAGUGGUGAUUCCUCAUACAGGAGGACAUUGCCAGUGUGAUUAUUAACCUUUAAAUGAACAAAUCAAUAUUUCCACUUAUUGGGGGGUGAGGGUGGGUACAGUAUGCUUCGUUUUAUAGCCUGAAAGCAAACAUAAUUCUUUUAGUCCUGAAAUAUACGGUUACAGCACCGCAAAACAGCAAAUUUCAAUGUAAUACUGAAAAGUGUCAUUUAAAUAGCUGUUUCAUGCAGCUUUUCCCUUUUCUCGCAUUGCGGUGUACGCCGUUUGCACGAUCAGCUCUGCAUCAGGUGCCCUUAGUUUGUAAACUUUGCCACAUGGCCAGAGUGUUCCUGCCUGUGACUAUGCAGAGCACCACAGACGCCUGUUUGGGGAAAAAUAAAUGUGUUGAACCAGCGGGAAGAUCUACCCACUAGUUUUCGUUAACGCCGAACGUAUGAACUCUGUCAAAUCCAGAAAACACCGUCAUUCAUUAAACCCCAACGCGCCUGCCUCUUGAGAAGGGAGAGAUGGCUCUCUGAUCUACGUGGUCCCAUUAGUUCUCAGUCUUUGAAGCAGUGGGAGAUCUGUGCUGUGAAGCAGUACAGCAACAAAGAUUGUCUUCACAUUCUGCAUGGUGUACGUUGUAGAACACUUGACGGGGCAGAUGGUUUUCAGCGGGGCGGAGCAGGCUGUGGAAAGUUCCAGAAAUAAAAUGUCCGAAAAGACAAAAAGGCCCAUCGAAGCCAUGGGAGAGCACCAGACGUCAGCCCACGCAGUGCAAUCGUUAUUUUGGCAGCUCUAUCCAGACAAUCUCAACGAUAAAUCAUCGUUCAAUAAAAAGCAACUGUAGCGAACACAGGUUAUUUCUCUCUUUCGCGUCUCAGAUAAAGAGGAACACAUUUCGUUCCAGCACAGGUGGGCCUCAGGACAUUCCCACAGCUGGCGAAAGAAAGUUCACACUACACCCCUGCUACACUAGGGAAAUCAGACGCAUUAUUUUUCGUUUUGUGGGGUUAAAUGCAUCCUACUAAUUUUAAUGUAUCCUCUGAUGAUCAGGUGUUUUUAGUGGCACACUUCGGAUUGUUAUAUCAUCAUUAUUGUAAUUAUUGAAAUCAUUAUUAACCACUGAUUGUUCUGCUAUGGAGGUUAUUCAACAAUUGGACAUUGAAGUGGAGUAAUGUAUUACGUGACAUUCGCUGUUCAAAUAAUGCUAUAGGUCGUUUGUAACGGGUUACAAUAUUGAAGUAAUCAAACUCGUUUGUUUUAACCUAGUGUGUUUUGAAUGUCAAAAAGAAUUAAACCCGUCGGUUCAUUUUGUUAUACUUUUAAAUUUGACUUUUAUUGCUACGUUAUUCUGUUAUGUCUGGAAUCCUUCACGUUAACCACUGUAGUUGCUGUUUUCUUGGUUUGCUUUGAUUUCUGUGUAACUUACACAGAAGUAUGUUGUUGUUUCCAAACUGUUAUACCACUGUACUGUAUUUAUAUUUUUACUGUUAGGUAAUUACAGUAUGUUCUGAAU
ensembl:lincRNA